rnacentral:rRNA from 1 species
AACGAACGCUUGCGGCAUGCCUAACACAUGCAAGUCGAACGAAGGCUUCGGCCUUAGUGGCGCACGGGUGCGUAACGCGUGGGAAUCUGCCCCUCGUUUCGGAAUAACAGUUAGAAAUGACUGCUAAUCCCGGAUGCUGACUUAGGGCCAAAGAUUUAACGCCGAGGGAUGCGCCCGCGUAAGAUUAGGUAGUUGGAUGGGUAAAGGCCUACCAAGCCGACGAUCUUUAGCUGGUCUGGGAGGAUGAUCAGCCACACUGGGACUGAGCACACGGCCAAGACUCCUACGGGAGGGAGCAGUGGGGAAUAUUGGACAAUGGGCGAAAGCCUGAUCCAGCAAUGCCGCGUGAGUGAUGAAGGCCUUAGGGUUGUAAAGCUCUUUUACCAGGGAUGAUAAUGACAGUACCUGGAGAAUAAGCUCCGGCUAACUCCGUGCCAGCAGCCGCGGUAA